rnacentral:tRNA from 1 species
UCGGUAGCUCAGUCGGUAGAGCAGAGGACUGAAAAUCCUUGUGUCGCUGGUUCGAUUCCGGCCCGAGC